rnacentral:rRNA from 1 species
UAACACGUAGGGACCAAGCGUUGUCCGGAUUCAUUGGGCGUAAAGAGCUCGUAGGCGGUUCGAUAAGUCGGGUGUGAAACCUCCAGGCUCAACCUGGAGACGCCACCCGAUACUGUCGUGACUAGAGUCCAGUAGGGGAGCGUGGAAUUCCUGGUGUAGCGGUGAAAUGCGCAGAUAUCAGGAGGAACACCAGCGGCGAAGGCGGCGCUCUGGGCUGGAACUGACGCUGAGGAGCGAAAGCGUGGGGAGCGAACAGGAUUAGAUACCCUGGUAGUCCACGCCGUAAACGUUGGGCGCUAGGUGUGGGGCUCAUUCCACGAGUUCCGUGCCGCAGCUAACGCAUUAAGCGCCCCGCCUGGGGAGUACGGCCGCAAGGCUA